UUACCUUUUGGUGUGAUUUAUUAAACUCUUAUUUUCCAUCAGAUUAUAACUCUUAAUUAAAAAAUAAGCAUUUUUAUUGCCUAUGUGAUACUGGGCACAAACUAUGUAAAAUAAUAGAAUUCCACUUUUUUUUUUUAUUCAGUUUGUGAGAAAAACAGUGAGACUGUACCUGUGUGCAUCUCUGUCUGGUAUCAGAUGCUGUUGGAGGCUUUACCGUAGAGAGCCAUUAGCAGAGGUAAACCGCAGCAUCCAUAGAUAAAGGCAUUACCAUCCCAUCCCUAAGGAGUGAACAAAUAGAUACAACUGGAGGGAACAAGAUACCACACAUGCACAGCGGAGGAAAAGAAUGGCCAAACAUGGGAGUCUUUCCACUGACAGCGUGUAAAAACUACCUCCACCAUGUUUGAAAGCUGUAACUUAGCCUGGCCAACUCUCACUGCGACAAACGACUGAAAGGAAAAUUACAUCUACUUUGAAAGUGUAAAAGAAACACCCACAUACUGUUGUUCCUUUGUCACAAAAUUCCAACAUGCAAGGACCAGCAGAAAUGGUCCAACAGUGGAAAAUACAUCAUUUCAAAUUAAUUUCUCUUGUAAAGUUGCCAUUUUAAAGAUACUAGAUUUUCUUUUCCAAGCGCAACAAUUGAAUCAUUACAUUAAAUGCAAUUCUCUG